rnacentral:rRNA from 1 species
AUGGGGGAAACGAGCAGCAGGGGGGCGGCUCUUCCGCCGCAGCUCCGGUGGUACGUCCUGCCCCUGCUCCUCCUCCUCCUUGCCAUGGCGUCGAGCUCGAGCUGCGAGGCCUCGAGAGGCAUGCAGCCCUUCAGGGGCCGGCCGCUGGAGCGAGGGGCGGCCAACCAUUUCUUCGGGUUCCUGCCGAGGGGCCCGGUGACGCCCUCCGGGCCGUCGAGGAAGCACAACGCCGUCGGCCUCGACAGCCAGCUGGAGAAGCCGUGA